UCAUCCCCAACAUCAUUAUUAUGUUUUCUUUUCCUUUUCUCUUUUUUUUUUCUUUUCUUUUUUUUAUAAUCACACUCUCUCUCUCUCACUCUCUCUCACCCGGAUCCUAUCCCUCUCCUUCUCUCACGAAAUUCUGUCCCUUCCCUCUGUGUGUCUGAACCACAGAAGAGAAUUGUGUUUAGAGUGUUAGAUCGGGGUGAGUAGAGUGUG
rnacentral:lncRNA from 1 species